AGAGUUUGAUUCUGGCUCAGGACGAACGCUGGCGGCGUGCCUAAUACAUGCAAGUCGAACGCUUCUUUUUCCACCGGAGCUUGCUCCACCGGAAAAAGAGGAGUGGCGAACGGGUGAGUAACACGUGGGUAACCUGCCCAUCAGAAGGGGAUAACACUUGGAAACAGGUGCUAAUACCGUAUAACAAUCGAAACCGCAUGGUUUUGAUUUGAAAGGCGCUUUCGGGUGUCGCUGAUGGAUGGACCCGCGGUGCAUUAGCUAGUUGGUGAGGUAACGGCUCACCAAGGCGACGAUGCAUAGCCGACCUGAGAGGGUGAUCGGCCACAUUGGGACUGAGACACGGCCCAAACUCCUACGGGAGGCAGCAGUAGGGAAUCUUCGGCAAUGGACGAAAGUCUGACCGAGCAACGCCGCGUGAGUGAAGAAGGUUUUCGGAUCGUAAAACUCUGUUGUUAGAGAAGAACAAGGAUGAGAGUAACUGUUCAUCCCUUGACGGUAUCUAACCAGAAAGCCACGGCUAACUACGUGCCAGCAGCCGCGGUAAUACGUAGGUGGCAAGCGUUGUCCGGAUUUAUUGGGCGUAAAGCGAGCGCAGGCGGUUUCUUAAGUCUGAUGUGAAAGCCCCCGGCUCAACCGGGGAGGGUCAUUGGAAACUGGGAGACUUGAGUGCAGAAGAGGAGAGUGGAAUUCCAUGUGUAGCGGUGAAAUGCGUAGAUAUAUGGAGGAACACCAGUGGCGAAGGCGGCUCUCUGGUCUGUAACUGACGCUGAGGCUCGAAAGCGUGGGGAGCAAACAGGAUUAGAUACCCUGGUAGUCCACGCCGUAAACGAUGAGUGCUAAGUGUUGGAGGGUUUCCGCACUUCAGUGCUGCAGCUAACGCAUUAAGCACCCCGCCUGGGGAGUACGACCGCAAGGUUGAAACUCAAAGGAAUUGACGGGGGCCCGCACAAGCGGUGGAGCAUGUGGUUUAAUUCGAAGCAACGCGAAGAACCUUACCAGGUCUUGACAUCCUUUGACCACUCUAGAGAUAGAGCUUCCCCUUCGGGGGCAAAGUGACAGGUGGUGCAUGGUUGUCGUCAGCUCGUGUCGUGAGAUGUUGGGUUAAGUCCCGCAACGAGCGCAACCCUUAUUGUUAGUUGCCAUCAUUUAGUUGGGCACUCUAGCAAGACUGCCGGUGACAAACCGGAGGAAGGUGGGGAUGACGUCAAAUCAUCAUGCCCCUUAUGACCUGGGCUACACACGUGCUACAAUGGGAAGUACAACGAGUCGCAAAGUCGCGAGGCUAAGCUAAUCUCUUAAAGCUUCUCUCAGUUCGGAUUGUAGGCUGCAACUCGCCUACAUGAAGCCGGAAUCGCUAGUAAUCGCGGAUCAGCACGCCGCGGUGAAUACGUUCCCGGGCCUUGCACUCACCGCCCGUCAA
rnacentral:rRNA from 1 species